rnacentral:rRNA from 1 species
AGAGUUUGAUCCUGGCUCAGGACGAACGCUGGCGGUGCGCUUAAUGCAUGCAAGUCGGACGGGCAAAGGGGCUUCGGCCUCGGCGCUAGUGGCAGACGGCUGAGUAACACGUAAGUGAUCUGCCCCGGAGCGGGGGAUAAUCCGGAGAAAUUCGGUCUAAUACCCCGUACGUUGAGCGAGUUUAGGCUCGCUGAAGAAAGGCUUCGGUCGCUCUGGGAGGAGCUUGCGGCUUAUCAGGUAGUUGGCGGGGUAAAGGCCCACCAAGCCGAAGACGGGUAGCCGAUGUGAGAGCAUGAUCGGUCAGAGGGGGACUGAGACACGGCCCCCACUCCUACGGGAGGCAGCAGCAGGGAAUCUUGGGCAAUGGGCGAAAGCCUGACCCAGCGACGUCGCGUGGGGGAUGAAGGCCUUAGGGUUGUAAACCCCUUUUCCCGGGGAUGAGAAAGGACAGUACCCGGGGAAUAAGGUUCGGCUAACUACGUGCCAGCAGCCGCGGUAACACGUAGGAACCGAGCGUUGUCCGGAUUUACUGGGCGUAAAGUGCGCGUAGGCGGUUCGUUAAGUCUCAUGUGAAAUCUCCCGGCUCAACUGGGAGGGGUCAUGGGAAACUGGCGGACUUGAGUGCAGCAGAGGAGAGCGGAAUUCCCGGAGUAGUGGUGGAAUGCGUAGAUACCGGGAGGGAACACCAGUGGCGAAAGCGGGCUUUGCCAGGGCGCGGCCUGACGCUGAGGUACGAAAGCGUGGGGGAGCGAACCGGGAUUAGAUACCCGGGUAGUCCACGCCGUAAACGAUGGAUGCUAGACGUGGGGAGUAUCGACCCUUUCCGUGUCGCAGCUAACGCGAUAAGCAUCCCGCCUGGGGACUACGGCCGCAAGGCUAAAACUCAAAGGAAUUGACGGGGGCCCGCACAAGCAGCGGAGCGUGUGGUUUAAUUCGAUGCAACGCGAAGAACCUUACCUGGGCUUGACAUGCGCCGGAAGCCGGCUGAAAGGUCGGCGCCCUUCGGGGCUGGCGCACAGGUGCUGCACGGCUGUCGUCAGCUCGUGUCGUGAGAUGUUGGGUUAAGUCCCGCAACGAGCGCAACCCUCGUCCUGUGUUGCCAUGAAUGGGACUCGCAGGAGACCGCCAGCGACAAGCUGGAGGAAGGUGGGGACGACGUCAAGUCAUCAUGGCCUUUAUGUCUAGGGCUACACACGUGCUACAAUGGGUGGUACAACGGGUUGCCAAGUCGCGAGACGGAGCUAAUCCCAAAAAAACGCUCGUAGUCCGGAUAGGAGUCUGCAACUCGACUCCUUGAAGUCGGAAUCGCUAGUAAUCGCGAAUCAGAAUGUCGCGGUGAAUACGUUCCCGGGCCUUGUACACACCGCCCGU